rnacentral:rRNA from 1 species
AUGGCUAACCCCUUCGCCUCCCCUCUCCUCCUCGCUUCCCCGCUCCCCCUCCGGGCCCCGAUCUUCCCGCCCCACCCGUCGGCGCUGGUGGAGGAGGCCGCCACCACGGCCGUGGAGGAGUACGAGGCACCUCUGCUGAGGCUUCUCCGACCAUAUAGGCGAGCUAACCAUCCUUCCAAGCCUCGGCAAGCUAGACAGGUGGAUUCGCCAAGCAGGGCCCUCCGGCGAGGUGGAGGGCUGAGGGACGAGAUCGAGCAAGUCGACGGGGUCGUCUCCGCCGUGAACGACAGGGUUACCCGAAACAAGUUAGUGGCCAGAUCCCUCGCAGCCCUCAAGCAGAUGCUCUACGACGCCGAUGACACGGUCGACGAGCUCGACUGCUACAGUUUUCAGCAGGAGCUCCAUGCCCGUGGAGGUAAAUGCGUGAACAUCCGUCCUCCAAGAACGCCACAUGCCCAUGGCAUUGGCACCAUCCCAACAAAAUUGAUGGACGAAGUAACCAACUGCCAAUCCAAUGUGAUUCUAACUGAUGAUAGUUCAUCUAGAAGAAAAAGGAGAAGGGGCAACAUGGAGAAAGACGCGGUGCUGGUGUGCAUGAUCUUGGGCUUUCUAGGCUCCGUCGCGGUCACCCUCGGCUUCGUCGCCAACAACUAUAGCUCCAAGGCAUGGAUCCAAGAUCAAACAUCACAAUUCUCUUUUCAUCAAUUCGAUAGAUAUGUGCUAACUGAGUCUAUGUUAGUCCGUGGAGUACCACGGGAUGACUGCGUGUACCUGAGCCCACUAGCGACGGGUCUCGGCAUCCUGGGUGUGUUCCUGGUGUUCAUCAACCAGGUCAUCGUCGCCGGCUACGCCAGCGGCUGGUGCCUCUGCCUGUGUUGCUGCUGCCCCUACUGGAUCAAGCGCUGCCGGCUGGCGCCAACACCGUCCAAGUGGAACCCAGUGUAA